rnacentral:rRNA from 1 species
CGCGCGGUUCUAUUUUGUUGAUUUCUAGGACCGCCGUAAUGAUUAAUAGGGACAGUCGGGGGCAUCCGUAUUCAAUUGUCAGAGGUGAAAUUCUUGGAUUUAUUGAAGACGAACUACUGCGAAGGCAUUUGCCAAGGAUGUUUUCAUUAAUCAGUGAACGAAAGUUAGGGGAUCGAAGACGAUCAGAUACCGUCGUAGUCUUAACCAUAAACUAUGCCGACUAGGGAUCGGUGGGUGUUAUUAUUUUGACCCCAUCGGCACCUUACGAGAAAUCAAAGUUUUUGGGUUCUGGGGAGAGUAUGGUCGCAAGGCUGAAACUUAAAGAAAUUGACGGAAGGGCACCACCAGGCGUGGAGCCUGCGGCUUAAUUUGACUCAGCACGGGGAAACUCACCAGGUCCAGACACAAGUAGGAUUGACAGAUUGAGAGCUCUUUCUUGAUUUUGUGGGUGGUGGUGCAUGGCCGUUCUUAGUUGGUGGAGUGAUUUGUCUGCUUAAUUGCGAUAACGAACGAGACCUUAACCUGCUAAAUAGCCCGGCCCGCUUCGGCGGGUCGCCGGCUUCUUAGAGGGACUAUCGGCUCAAGCCGAUGGAAGUUUGAGGCAAUAACAGGUCUGUGAUGCCCUUAUAUGUUCUGGGCCGCACGCGCGCUACACUGACAGAGCCAACGAGUUCAUCACCUUGGCCGGAAGGUCUGGGUAAUCUUGUUAAACUCUGUCGUGC